GUGCUCACUUUGGCAGCACAGAUGCUAAAAUUGGAACAAUACAGAGAAGAUUAGCACAGCCCUCACGCAAGAACGGCACGUAAAUUUGUGAAGCGCUUCGUAUUUUC
rnacentral:snRNA from 1 species